rnacentral:rRNA from 1 species
UGGGGAAUAUUGCACAAUGGGGGAAACCCUGAUGCAGCAACGCCGCGUGGAGGAUGACGCAUUUCGGUGUGUAAACUCCUUUUAUAAGGGAAGAUAAUGACGGUACCUUAUGAAUAAGCACCGGCUAACUCCGUGCCAGCAGCCGCGGUAAUACGGAGGGUGCAAGCGUUACUCGGAAUCACUGGGCGUAAAGGGUGCGUAGGCGGGUUAUCAAGUCUCGAGUGAAAUCCAACGGCUUAACCGUUGAACU